UGAGGAAUAUUGGUCAAUGGGCGGGAGCCUGAACCAGCCAAGUCGCGUGAAGGAAGAAGGUACUUAGUAUUGUAAACUUCUUUUGUCGGGGAACAAAGGCGGAGACGCGUCUCCGGAUGAGUGUACCCGAAGAAAAAGCAUCGGCUAACUCCGUGCCAGCAGCCGCGGUAAUACGGAGGAUGCGAGCGUUAUCCGGAUUUAUUGGGUUUAAAGGGUGCGCAGGCGGGAGAUCAAGUCAGCGGUAAAAUGUCGGGGCUCAACCCCGGCCGGCCGUUGAAACUGGUUUUCUAGAGUUGGAGAGAA
rnacentral:rRNA from 1 species